UACGGAGGUCCCGAGCGUUGUCCGGAUUUAUUGGGCGUAAAGCGAGCGCAGGUGGUUUAUUAAGUCUGGUGUAAAAGGCAGUGGCUCAACCAUUGUAUGCAUUGGAAACUGGUAGACUUGAGUGCAGGAGAGGAGAGUGGAAUUCCAUGUGUAGCGGUGAAAUGCGUAGAUAUAUGGAGGAACACCGGUGGCGAAAGCGGCUCUCUGGCCUGUAACUGACACUGAGGCUCGAAAGCGUGGGGAGCAAACAGG
rnacentral:rRNA from 1 species